AAUCCACUAUUGAAAAAGCAGAGCCUUGGCAGUAUUUAUUAGUGAAUCCAGUGAACUUUCAAGGACAUUCUCUGGCUAAGCAGUGCAAUAUGAGGUAAUAAUUAAAGUUAUUCUCAGGUCCCAAAGGGAGCUCAGAGAAUAUCACUCCAUUGAAGUUCCCUGGAGCCUUCUAGAAUGUCAGCUUAACCCAGCUUCCAUGUUGGGUUGCUUCCACAGUUUUAGAUUUCUUGGGAUUCUAUGUUAUGAACUCAGAAGACCUGAUUUUUAUGAUUGUCAUCUCAAAAUAGCCUUCAUAUUCAUACUCAAAUGUCACUUCUUGAUGUCGUCUGUUUCAUUGUACCCAUUUAUGAGCAAGGACUGAGUUCCCUCUACACUAGACCAUAUGGAAGACUGAACCAGGAAGAGGUAUUUCCGCUGAGGCGAUGCAUACAAACCAUUAUGCAAAUUGAAUGCACUCAGAGCAUGGUUUCCCCACAUAGUGCUGAAUUUUCUAGAAGACUCAUCAUGAAAAGCGGCCUCACUGAUGCUUACGUUAGCACUGAUGACCUAGUCCAGGUGUCUGGCCUCACAGAUGAGGAAAUGCAAGACCUCACGGGGGUAAAAUCCCUUCAUCCUUACCUUACACCACUGCCUGCUAAGACACCCCAAAGUGCCUUCCAUCUGUGCAAAUGAAGUCUCUAGGAGAUGC